rnacentral:rRNA from 1 species
AGCAGCCGCGGUAAUUCCAGCUCCAAUAGCGUAUAUUAAAGUUGUUGCAGUUAAAAAGCUCGUAGUUGAAUUUCGAGAUCAAAUUGUUGGUCGUGCCUCGGUACGUACUGGCAUUAUUGAUUUCUCCCUUCUGAAGAACCACGAUGUCAUUAAUUUGGUGUCGUGGGGAAUCAGGACCGUUACUUUGAAAAAAUUAGAGUGUUUAAAGCAGGCUCACGCUUGAAUACAUUAGCAUGGAAUAAUGAAAUAGGACGUUUGAUUCUAUUUUGUUGGUUUCUAGGAUCAACGUAAUGAUUAAUAGGGAUAGUUGGGGGCAUUAGUAUUCAAUUGUCAGAGGUGAAAUUCUUGGAUUUAUUGAAGACUAACUACUGCGAAAGCAUUUGCCAAGGAUGUUUUCAUUAAUCAAGAACGAAAGUUAGGGGAUCGAAGACGAUCAGAUACCGUCGUAGUCUUAACCAUAAACUAUGCCGACUAGGGAUCGGACGAUGUUAAUUUUUAAUGACUCAUUCGGCGCCUUACG